GAGUGAUCACCGAGUCAGGAGUAACUAUAGUAACUAGAAUUUUCUGAAUGUUCAGUAAGGUAUUGUGCCCUCAACGGGAGCGCCUGGCACAUGGCAAUACUCGACACAUGGUAACUAUAAAAAUGACAAUCAAGAGAAGAACCCAGAAUGGUGAAGAAGGCAGCAGAUGCUCUUGUGACAGCAAAGGAGAUUUGAAGGGUCCUGCCAAAACACAGUUUCAAGAGAGAGAAAACAGAGUAAUGGAAGCAAGACUGAGAACAAGAAGGCCAACUUGUAUCUUGUUUUACAUAGGAGCUUAACCUUGAAUGUCAUAUUCAUAUUGUUAUUAUGCUGAUAUAGUUCAUCCGCUGGUCUUUGAAGCUAUUUCAAGAUAUGUAACAGGAGCCCCCCUAAGUUUCAAAAGUGUAGUGUAGUGAAAAUGGACCUUAGGGUCAGACUGACCCACUUUCAAAUCAUGACACCGUUGGAACAUCUAAGUUGAAAUGGCAAGGCUUCCAGUUAGCUGGGAAUUUCCAGCUGAACCACCUUCCUUUCAAACCUCAGCUCAGCAUACAGCGGGGAUACUGGAGGACAGCCAUUUCUGCUCAACGUAGGACAUCUCUAAUGGGCAGUCUUUACUCUGGAGGUCCUGGCUGAAUUGAUCAAUACUGCAUCAAAUCUGCGUCAUGGUCUGUAGCCCUCCAUGCCACAUCCCACGUCCCUCCCCCACCUCCACCCCCACCCCCGUUUCUUUGACAAGUGCCAGAUCCACACUACAGUAUGAGGAUUUCCCCCCAGCAUUGUCUCCUCCCUCUUUUAGCUUCCAACCUCCCACUGGGGCCCCUCCCACAGAAUGAUCCAUUUGGACUCCUAAACACAUCUGAGAGUCACCCCCAAAUGAUAUAACAGAUUAAGUUAUUGAACUCUGAGAUCCAACUUCUUUAUCUUCCCAAUCCUAUUGCGACUGCCUAUACCAUCAGAAUUUGAACAGCAUAAAUGAGGUGGAAAACAUACAGUAUCCUGGCUUAUAAGUAGACCAUCACCAAGACUUUUUUCCCCCUUCACUCAGCUCAUCAGUAGGACCACUGGUGUGAAAAAGAAGACACAUUCUUCGCUUUCAUUCACCAACUGUGAUAUGCCUAGAAUAGCAUUAACUGUCACGAGGGGGAUGGGAUCCUGGAAACAUACAGCUGUGGGAGAGUGGGACACAUCUGUAACAAGCCUGUGAGCAUCUUUGAUGCUGGGGACUAUGGGUUUCCUAAGUGCUAGGACAAAUGUCAGAGAGCAGCACAGAGCAGGGGCACCUAGCCUGGAAUGUCA
rnacentral:lncRNA from 1 species